rnacentral:rRNA from 1 species
CCUACGGGAGGCAGCAGUGGGGAAUAUUGCACAAUGGGGGAAACCCUGAUGCAGCGACGCCGCGUGAGUGAAGAAGUAUUUCGGUAUGUAAAGCUCUAUCAGCAGGGAAGAAGAAAGACGGUACCUGACUAAGAAGCCCCGGCUAACUACGUGCCAGCAGCCGCGGUAAUACGUAGGGGGCAAGCGUUAUCCGGAUUUACUGGGUGUAAAGGGAGCGUAGACGGCUGUGCAAGUCUGAAGUGAAAGCCCAGGGCUCAACCCUGGGACUGCUUUGGAAACUGUGGAGCUAGAGGGCGGGAGAGGUAAGUGGAAUUCCUAGUGUAGCGGUGAAAUGCGUAGAUAUUAGGAGGAACACCAGUGGCGAAGGCGGCUUACUGGACAGUAACUGACGUUGAGGCUCGAAAGCGUGGGGAGCAAACAGGAUUAGAUACCCUGGUAGUC